CCUACGGGUGGCAGCAGUGAGGAAUAUUGGUCAAUGGUCGGGAGACUGAACCAGCCAAGCCGCGUGAGGGAGGAAGGUACAGAGUAUCGUAAACCUCUUUUGUCAGGGAACAAAGUCGGGGACGUGUCCCCGGCUGAGUGUACCUUACGAAAAAGCAUCGGCUAACUCCGUGCCAGCAGCCGCGGUAAUACGGAGGCUGCGAGCGUUAUCCGGAUUUAUUGGGUUUAAAGGGUGCGCAGGCGGUCUGUUAAGUCAGCGGUCAAAGCCCGGGGCUCAACCCCGGCCCGCCGUUGAAACUGGCAGUCUCGAGUUGGAGAGAAGUAUGCGGAAUGCGCGGUGUAGCGGUGAAAUGCAUAGAUAUCGCGCAGAACUCCGAUUGCGAAGGCAGCAUGCCGGCUCCACACUGACGCUGAGGCACGAAAGCGUGGGUAUCGAACAGGAUUAGAUACCCGGGUAGUC
rnacentral:rRNA from 1 species